rnacentral:tRNA from 1 species
GCCGAAGUGGUGGAACUGGUAGACACACCAUCUUGAGGGGGUGGCGGGCAACCGCCCAUGCGAGUUCGAGUCUCGCCUUCGGCACCA